rnacentral:rRNA from 1 species
UACAGAGGGGGCAAGCGUUGUUCGGAAUUACUGGGCGUAAAGGGCGCGUAGGCGGCCUUCUAAGUCAGACGUGAAAUCCCUCGGCUCAACCGGGGAACUGCGUCUGAUACUGAAAGGCUUGAAUCCGGGAGAGGAAUGCGGAAUUCCAGGUGUAGCGGUGAAAUGCGUAGAUAUCGGGAGGAAUACCGAUGGCGAAGGCAGGUCUCUGGGCUGACACUGACGCUCAUGCACGAAAGCGUGGGGAGCAAACAGG